GACGAACGCUGGCGGCGUGCCUAAUACAUGCAAGUAGAACGCUGAAGGCGGACUUUUCUUCUCUGGAUGAGUUGCGAACGGGUGAGUAACGCGUAGGUAACCUGCCUGUUAGCGGGGGAUAACUUUUGGAAACGAUAGCUAAUACCGCAUAAGGGCAGAUGCUGCAUGACAUUUGCUUAAAAGUUGCAAUUGCAUCACUACCAGUUGGACCUGCGUUGUAUUAGCUAGUUGUUGAGGUAACGGCUCACUAAGGCAACGAUGCAUAGCCGAACGGAGAGGGUGAUCGGCCACACUGGGACUGAGACAGGGCCCAGAGUGCUACAGAAAGCAGCAGGAGGGAAACGUCGGCAAUGGACGGAAGUCAGAGCGAGAAACGCCGCAGGAGGAAAGAAGGUUUUCGGAUCGGAAAGCACUGUUGUAAGAGAAGAACGAGUGUGAGAGUGGAAAGUACACAGUGUGACGGUAACUUACCAGAAAGGAACGGCUAACUACGUG
rnacentral:rRNA from 1 species